UCGGACGUGGUGCGUGGAACACACCCGCUAAUAAUGAAGUGGCAUAGUCUUGGUUGCAUGCACGCGGGAGACCGGGUUCGAUUCUCGGCGUCCGAA